CUUCCUUUGAAUUGAAUGAAGAAAGCGAGGGAUUUGCUUAAACCCAUUCGCAGAACCUUCCUUUGCCCCGCCAGACCUUCUCCUCCUGCUGCUGCUCCUGCUCCUCUUCCUCCACAGAUGGAUCCAUCAGAGCGCUAUUGUUAUAAUCCGAGAUUGCAAUGGAAUCCUGAGGUUGAAGACUACUUCAGCAAAGCCUACGGAGCAGAUCAUUUCUCUCGUAUUUCUCAUGCCCUCACGCGUCCUUCUACCUAUUCUUGCAUUCGAGUCAACACACUAAAGACCACAACUGAUGGUGUUGUUCAUAAGCUGAAGGCAAUUAUGAAAGAAACUGGGUUUGAAGAUUGUAGUAUGGCAGAACGGCGGCCAAAUGAAAAUCCAGCCAAUGCAAUGGGGGAAAGGUUGCAAAGUAGCCCCAUCUCUAAGUGCCAGAUACCUGGGUUGGAUUAUGUUUUGUUUGUUAAGGGUUCGGGACCACACACAAUUGAUUAUGGUUUUGCACCGGUGGCACCUCCUAAGGAGGUAAUUGUGAGUAGAAAAUGUGCUGAAGCUGUUCUACGAGGUGCUCAGGUAUUUGUUCCUGGUGUAAUGGCUUGUAGUGCACAUGUUGAAAAGGGUGAUGUAGUUGCAGUUUCAGUUGCUAUAGAGCAACAUAUCCCUGAUGGUGGAUGGGCUAUUGGUAUGACACGUGGGACUGUUCUUCAAGGACUUCAGACAGAUCCUUAUCAUUUUGAAAGAAAUGGCCUGUAUAUUGGUCAAGGAAUAGCAACAAUGUCAAGGGCUGGCAUAUUUCGCGUUUCAGAAGGAAUUGCUGUGGAUGUGAAUAAUCGGGUGUUUAAAUUGCCUUCUUUUCAUGAUGUGCUUGAGGGGGAAAUAUUUCUUCAGAACUUGCCAAGCAUUGUCACUGCUCAUGCCUUAGAUCCUCAAAAAGGUGAACGAAUAUUAGACAUGUGUGCGGCGCCAGGAGGAAAGACAACUGCAAUUGCAAUCCUUAUGAAGGGUGAAGGAGAGAUUGUUGCAGCCGAUAGAUCUCAUAAUAAGGUGCUGGAUAUUCAGAAAUUGGCUGCUGAAAUGAGCUUGACAUGUAUAACAACUUAUAAACUGGAUGCUCUAAAAGCUGUUCGUCGAAGAAAUGGAUCCAAUGAUAAUGUCACGGUUCAAAGCACUGAACCAAUGACAUUUCAUGAGGAGAAAACAUCUUCUACUGUUCAAGGAUUGAAUCCAGAAAAGGGGUGUAAUGAAAUUGUUAGCAACGAAAAAGAGAAUGAGAGAACUUAUGUUAGCAAAGCUGACAUCAGGAAGAGUAGGCGAAGAAUGAGGAAUGGGCCAGGAAGAAAUCAGUGCCUUGGUGGUAGGGUUGAGAAUUCAAAAGGUUUUGAUCCUGACAGCUUUGAUCGAGUUCUCCUUGAUGCCCCCUGUUCAGCUCUUGGUUUGCGACCUAGACUUUUUGCUGGAGAGGAAACUGUAGGAUCCUUAAGAAAUCAUGCGAAGUAUCAGAGGAGAAUGUUUGACCAGGCUGUUAAACUAGUUCGCCCUGGUGGAGUUAUUGUGUAUUCCACAUGCACAAUAAACCCUGGUGAGAAUGAAGCACUGGUACGAUAUGCUUUGGAUACAUAUAAGUUCCUCUCCUUAGCACAACAGCACCCAAGGAUUGGAGGACCUGGCCUUAUUGGUGGUCAUGAAUUUCCUGAUGGAUACGUGGAGGAGUGGUUAAGACCUGGAGAAGAAGAACUUGUUCAGAGGUUUGAUCCAUCAUCUUCCCUUGACACAAUUGGAUUUUUCAUAGCCAAGUUUGUGGUUGGCCCCAAAAAUAUUUAAACUUUGGGAAAAUAUUACUUCCCAUUGAGAUCUGAAUCAGGUAGGGUGGUAGUAAAAAGUUAUGGAAAUGUUCUCAUUAUCUCUGCUUUAAGACGAUCAUGUGUAGCAGAGGCGAAGAGCGGAGCAUCUUCAUGCCUAUAUGAUGCAGAAAUCAUGAAGAGAAUGGUUAGU
rnacentral:misc_RNA from 1 species